AACGAACGCUGGCGGCAUGCCUAACACAUGCAAGUCGAACGAGACCUUCGGGUCUAGUGGCGCACGGGUGCGUAACGCGUGGGAACCUGCCCUUAGGUUCGGAAUAACUCCCCGAAAGGGGUGCUAAUACCGGAUAAUGUCUUCGGACCAAAGAUUUAUCGCCUUUGGAUGGGCCCGAGUUGGAUUAGCUAGUUGGUAGGGUAAAAGCCUACCAAGGCGACGAUCCAUAGCUGGUUUGAGAGGAUGAUCAGCCACACUGGGACUGAGACACGGCCCAGACUCCUACGGGAUGCAGGAGUGGGUAAUAUUGGACAGUGGGCGAAAGCCUGAUCCAGCAAUGCCGCGUGAGUGAUGAAGGCCUUAGGGUUGUAAAGCUCUUUUACCCGGGAUGAUAAUGACAGUACCGAGAGAAUAAGCCCCGGCUAACUCCGUG
rnacentral:rRNA from 1 species